rnacentral:rRNA from 1 species
UACGGAGGGUGCAAGCGUUGUCCGGAAUCACUGGGCGUAAAGGGCGCGUAGGCGGCUCAUGAAGGCUGUGGUGAAAGUCCGGGGCUCAACCUCGGAUCGGCCGUGGCGACUCGUGGGCUGGAGCACUGUAGAGGCGGGUGGAAUUCCGGGUGUAGCGGUGAAAUGCGUAGAUAUCGGGAGGAACACCUGUGGCGAAGGCGGCGCCUGGGUCGAUACUGACGCUGAGGUGCGAAAGCGUGGGGAGCAAACAGG